rnacentral:rRNA from 1 species
CGCCGCGUAGGGAUGACGGCCUUCGGGUUGUAAACCUCUUUCAGCAGGGACGAAGCGCAAGUGACGGUACCUGCAGAAGAAGCACCGGCCAACUACGUGCCAGCAGCCGCGGUAAUACGUAGGGUGCGAGCGUUGUCCGGAAUUAUUGGGCGUAAAGGGCUCGUAGGCGGUUUGUCGCGUCGGGAGUGAAAACUCAGGGCUUAACCCCGAGCCUGCUUCCGAUACGGGCAGACUAGAGGUAUGCAGGGGAGAACGGAAUUCCUGGUGUAGCGGUGAAAUGCGCAGAUAUCAGGAGGAACACCGGUGGCGAAGGCGGUUCUCUGGGCCUUUACCUGACGCUGAAGAGCGAAAGUGUGGGGAGCGAACAGGAUUAGAUACCCUGGUAGUCCACACCGUAAACGUUGGGCGCUAGGUGUGGGACUCAUUCCACGAGUUCCGUGCCGAAGCUAAAGCAUUAAGCGCCCCGCCUGGGGAGUACGGCCGCAAGGCUAAAACUCAAAGGAAUUGACGGGGGCCCGCACAAGCGGCGGAGCAUGCGGAUUAAUUCCAUGCAACGCGAAGAACCUUACCUGGGUUUGACAUAUGCCGGAA